rnacentral:sRNA from 1 species
UGCCCAUGCGGGGAAGGAUGAGAAGCUUCGACUAAGGUUCGACUCGAGCGCCAGCGAGAGAGCGUUGCCGCAGGCAACGACCCGAAGGGCGAAGCGCGCAGCGCUGAGUAAUCCUUCCCCCACCACCA